CAGUUCGGAUUGCAGGCUGCAACUCGCCUGCAUGAAGUCGGAAUUGCUAGUAAUCGCAGAUCAGCAUGCUGCGGUGAAUACGUUCCCGGGCCUUGUACACACCGCCCGUCACACCAUGGGAGUCGGUAACACCCGAAGUCGGUAGCCUAACCGUAAGGAGGGCGCCGCCGAAGGUGGGAUUGAUGACUGGGGUGAAGUCGUAACAAGGUAAC
rnacentral:rRNA from 1 species